GACGAACGCUGGCGGCGUGCCUAAUACAUGCAAGUCGAACGCAGUGGGGACGGUUGAGUCCCACGUGGGUAACCUCCCAUCAGAGGGGAUAACACUUGGAAACAGGUGCUAAACCGAUACUGAUGGCAGGACCCGCUUUGCCUUAGCUAGUUGGUGAGGUAACGGCUCACCAAGGCCACGAUGCAUAGCCGACCUGAGAGGGUGAUCGGCCACACUGGGACUGAGACACGGCCCAGACUCCUACGGGAGGCAGCAGUAGGGAAUAUUCGGCAAUGGACGAAAGUCUGAUCGAGCAACGCCGCGUGAGUGAAGAAGGUCUUAGGAUCGUAAAACUCUGUUUUCAGAGAAGCGGUAUCUAACCAAAAAGCCACGGCUAACUACGUGCCAGCAGCCGCGGUAAUUC
rnacentral:rRNA from 1 species